rnacentral:rRNA from 1 species
UAUUGCACAAUGGGGGAAACCCUGAUGCAGCGACGCCGCGUGAGUGAAGAAGUAUUUCGGUAUGUAAAGCUCUAUCAGCAGGGAAGAUAAUGACGGUACCUGACUAAGAAGCCCCGGGUAACUACGUGCCAGCAGCCGCGGGAAUACGGAGGGGGCAAGCGUUAGCCGGAUUUACUGGGUGUAAAGGGUGGGUAGGUGGCAGGGCAAGUCAGAUGUGAAAGCCCGGGGCUCAACCCCGGUACUGCAUUUGAAACUGUCCAGCUGGAGUGCAGGAGAGGUAAGCGGAAUUCCUAGUGUAGCGGUGAAAUGCGUAGAUAUUAGGAGGAACACCAGAGGCGAAGGCGGCUUACUGGACUGUAACUGACACUGAGGCACGAAAGCGUGGGGAGCA